ensembl:lncRNA
AAAAUUUCAUCAUAGGCUCCGCUAGUGGUCUGACCAAGUGGAGGUGUGAAUAAUCACAUCGUCCAGGUAGGUGGCUGUGAACUGUUGAUGUGAUCUCAGGACGAUGUCCGUCAGGCGUUGGAAGGUUGCUGGAGAUCCAUGUAACUCAAAGGGGAGAACCCGGGAGAACCCGGUUCCCACUGCCAGUGGCCAUUAGAAUAAAAAUUAUAAUAUUUAUUUUUUAAGUAUGUAUACUUACAAUUCUAGUAUGCCUACUUGUUUUUUAAGUUCAAGCUAAAAAUUAACUAGCUUACCCUAUGAAUUAAUUUACUAAGUAACAUUGACCUAAUUUACUAGUACAUAGAAGUUUUAAGCAAAGAAAUAUGAAAGUAGAAAUCUGUACAAAUACUAAACAAUAAGUAUGCAAAAUAUGUAAGCUUUUUUAAAAAAAAAAUUGUACACAAAUUAAGUAUGGACACAAAGUUUAUAUGCAUACUUAACAAAUAAGCAUGCAUUCUAGAAUUUUGAGUAUGCAUACUUAAAAAAUAAUUAUGCCUUUGGUUGAAGGUUUUCAUCCAAAAACUAGUUAUUGUUUAGGUUCAUUGGUUGAACCUUAGAUUUUUACUAUUACUUACAUGUCAGUUUGAGCAUCAGAAUCAUGCUGAAACAAUUCAUUCAAUCAUCUCUACAUAUUCGUCCUGGUCAGAGUCUCAGUCGUCUCACAAGUCAGACUUUUAGCUAAAGCAUUAAAUGCCAUGUUUUGACUCGGUGGGCGAAAACUGGAGAACCUCAUGAAACUCUGCAAACAUGACCCCAGUUGAGCUUUGAACCAGCAACCCUUGGAACACAAAGCAGUAACACUACCCACUACACUAACUCACAACUGCAGGAACAAGCUAAAGUUUAACUAGCUUACCGUAUGCAUUGUUACAACCCGCUAUCUGGGACAGGAAGGUUUCUUUUUGUGUGCAGUGCCAUAUUUUGUGUGCAGGUCCGAACUCCCUCCCAGAGUUUCCAGCCUGCCUUGCUUCCACCUCCCAGGAUGAUGUCACUAAAUGGCGGCCAUGUUUAAAGAGGAAGAGGAGUGAGAAUGGCGUGGGAUGUUGGAGGUGGUUACAUGUGUUUCUGUUAAGAGAGUGUGUUUGGUUGUGCUGCUUGUAUGCUAUUUUCUGACUGCUGUUCUGGUUUUUGGACUUUGAGUUUAUUUGUACCUGUUUAUGUGCAUUCUAUUCAGCAUUGUAUAUAUGAUUCACUUGGUUCACCUGCAGUAGGGGUGUGGCUGCCAUUUCUUUUGGGAGAGGGUCCUUUGUCUCUGUUUUUGGCUUAGGUAGUUAGGGAAGUACUUGUAUUUUCUUUAUGUUCCUUUUAGUUAAGCUAGGUACCUAACAAGAGAAUUCUUUUGUCUAUUAUUUUGGCCUUGGCCCACCCUGAAGUUACUUCUGGUUUGGUUCCUUGUACAGUUAUGUGUUUUUUUAUAAUUUUGUGUUUUACAA